GACGAACGCUGGCGGCGUGCUUAACACAUGCAAGUCGAACGAAAAGAGGGAAAGAGCUUGCUCUUUCCGGAAUUGAGUGGCAAACGGGUGAGUAACACGUAAACAACCUGCCUUCAGGAUGGGGACAACAGACGGAAACGACUGCUAAUACCGAAUAAGUUCCAAGGGCCGCAUGGCCCAUGGAAGAAAAGGUGGCCUCUACCUGUAAGCUAUCGCCUGAAGAGGGGUUUGCGUCUGAUUAGCUGGUUGGAGGGGUAACGGCCCACCAAGGCGACGAUCAGUAGCCGGUCUGAGAGGAUGAACGGCCACACUGGAACUGAGACACGGUCCAGACUCCUACGGGAGGCAGCAGUGGGGAAUCUUCCGCAAUGGGCGAAAGCCUGACGGAGCAACGCCGCGUGAGUGAUGACGGCCUUCGGGUUGUAAAACUCUGUGAUCCGGGACGAAAAGGCAGAGUGCGAAGAACAA
rnacentral:rRNA from 1 species